AGAGUUUGAUCAGGGCUCAGGACGAACGCUGGCGGCGUGCUUAACACAUGCAAGUCGAGCGGUAAGGCCCCUUCGGGGGUACACGAGCGGCGAACGGGUGAGUAACACGUGAGCAAUCUGCCCUUCACACUGGGAUAACCCCGGGAAACCGGGGCUAAUACCGGAUAUUCACUUCCACAGGCAUCUGCGGAAGUGGAAAGCUCCGGCGGUGAAGGAUGAGCUCGCGGCCUAUCAGCUUGUUGGUGCGGGUAACGGCCCACCAAGGCGACGACGGGUAGCCGGCCUGAGAGGGUGACCGGCCACACUGGGACUGAGACACGGCCCAGACUCCUACGGGAGGCAGCAGUGGGGAAUAUUGGACAAUGGGCGAAAGCCUGAUCCAGCAACGCCGCGUGAGGGAUGAAGGCCUUCGGGUUGUAAACCUCUUUCAGCAGGGACGAAGCGCAAGUGACGGUACCUGCAGAAGAAGCACCGGCCAACUACGUGCCAGCAGCCGCGGUAAUACGUAGGGUGCAAGCGUUGUCCGGAAUUAUUGGGCGUAAAGAGCUCGUAGGCGGUCCGUCGCGUCGGGAGUGAAAACUCAGGGCUCAACCCUGAGCGUGCUUCCGAUACGGGCGGACUAGAGGUAGGUAGGGGAGAACGGAAUUCCUGGUGUAGCGGUGGAAUGCGCAGAUAUCAGGAGGAACACCGGUGGCGAAGGCGGUUCUCUGGGCCUUACCUGACGCUGAGGAGCGAAAGUGUGGGGAGCGAACAGGAUUAGAUACCCUGGUAGUCCACACCGUAAACGUUGGGCGCUAGGUGUGGGGGACAUUCCACGUCCUCCGUGCCGCAGCUAACGCAUUAAGCGCCCCGCCUGGGGAGUACGGCCGCAAGGCUAAAACUCAAAGGAAUUGACGGGGGCCCGCACAAGCGGCGGAGCAUGCGGAUUAAUUCGAUGCAACGCGAAGAACCUUACCUGGGUUUGACAUAUGCGGAAAACCUGCAGAGAUGUAGGGUCCUUACGGGCCGCAUACAGGUGGUGCAUGGCUGUCGUCAGCUCGUGUCGUGAGAUGUUGGGUUAAGUCCCGCAACGAGCGCAACCCUCGUCCUAUGUUGCCAGCACGUAAUGGUGGGGACUCAUGGGAGACUGCCGGGGUCAACUCGGAGGAAGGUGGGGAUGACGUCAAGUCAUCAUGCCCCUUAUGUCCAGGGCUUCACGCAUGCUACAAUGGCCGGUACAAUGGGCUGCGAAACCGCAAGGUAGAGCGAAUCCCAAAAAGCCGGUCUCAGUUCGGAUUGGGGUCUGCAACUCGACCCCAUGAAGUCGGAGUCGCUAGUAAUCGCAGAUCAGCAACGCUGCGGUGAAUACGUUCCCGGGCCUUGUACACACCGCCCGUCA
rnacentral:rRNA from 1 species